rnacentral:lncRNA from 1 species
CACUACUUGGUGUGACUGAGAAGGUUAAUUAGGAGUAAUUGAACUCAAUUAAACUCUAGAAUCAAAUAUAGUCGAAAAGGUUAAUUAUAUCCUAAUGUCAAUUAGAUUCUAAAUCAAUUAAAAUCUAAAUCAAUUAAACUCUAAAUCAAUUAAAAUCUCAAUCAAUUAAAAUCUAAAUCAAUUAAAUUCUAAAUCAAUUAAAAUAUGAAAGAGAAAAUAAUUUAAAGAUUUUUGGUGAAAGUCCCAUAUUUUUUGGAUUAAAAAUGAAAUUAAUAUGAA